rnacentral:rRNA from 1 species
CUGGCUCAGGAUGAACGCUGGCGGCGUGCCUAACACAUGCAAGUCGAGCGGAGCUUUAAUCUUUACAGCUUAGCUGAAAAGAUUAAAGCUUAGCGGCGGACGGGUGAGUAACGCGUGGGCAACCUGCCCUGUGCAGGGGGAUAACACAACGAAAGGUGUGCUAAUACCCCAUAAGACUACGAUGUCGCAUGGC